GUGGGGAAUAUUGGGCAAUGGGCGAAAGCCUGACCCAGCAACGCCGCGUGAAGGAAGAAGGUUUUCGGAUCGUAAACUUCUAUCCUUGGUGAAGAUAAUGACGGUAGCCAAGAAGGAAGCCCCGGCUAACUACGUGCCAGCAGCCGCGGUAAUACGUAGGGGGCAAGCGUUGUCCGGAAUGAUUGGGCGUAAAGGGCGCGUAGGCGGCCCGGUAAGUCUGAAGUGAAAGUCCUGCUUUUAAGGUGGGAAUUGCUUUGGAUACUGUAGUGCUUGAGUGCAGUGGGGGUAAGCAGACUUCACGGUGUAGAGGUGUAAUGCGUAGAGAUCGGGAGGAACACCAGUUGCGAAGGCGGCUUACUGGACUGUAACUGACUCUGAGGCGCGAAAGUGUGGGGAGCAAACAGGAUUAGAAACCCGUGUAGUCC
rnacentral:rRNA from 1 species